rnacentral:rRNA from 1 species
GGGUUGUGAGGUUAAGCGACUAAGCGUACACGGUGGAUGCCCUGGCAGUCAGAGGCGAUGAAGGACGUGCUAAUCUGCGAAAAGCGUCGGUAAGGUGAUAUGAACCGUUAUAACCGGCGAUGUCCGAAUGGGGAAACCCAGUGCAAUUCGUUGCACUAUCGUUAACUAAAUACAUAGGUUAACGAGGCGAACCGGGGGAACUGAAACAUCUAAGUACCCCGAGGAAAAGAAAUCAACCGAGAUUCCCCCAGUAGCGGCGAGCGAACGGGGAGCAGCCCAGAGUCUGAAUCAGCUUGUGUGUUAGUGGAACGGUCUGGAAAGUCCGACGGUACAGGGUGAUAGUCCCGUACACCAAAAUGCACAGGUUGUGAACUCGAAGAGUAGGGCGGGACACGUGGUAUCCUGUCUGAAUAUGGGGGGACCAUCCUCCAAGGCUAAAUACUCCUGACUGACCGAUAGUGAACCAGUACCGUGAGGGAAAGGCGAAAAGAACCCCGGCGAGGGGAGUGAAAAAGAACCUGAAACCGUGUACGUACAAGCAGUGGGAGCACCUUCGGGUGUGACUGCGUACCUUUUGUAUAAUGGGUCAGCGACUUAUAUUCUGUAGCAAGGUUAACCGUAUAGGGGAGCCGCAGGGAAACCGAGUCUUAACUGGGCGUUAAGUUGCAGGGUAUAGACCCGAAACCCGGUGAUCUAGCCAUGGGCAGGUUGAAGGUUGGGUAACACUAACUGGAGGACCGAACCGACUAAUGUUGAAAAAUUAGCGGAUGACUUGUGGCUGGGGGUGAAAGGCCAAUCAAACCGGGAGAUAGCUGGUUCUCCCCGAAAGCUAUUUAGGUAGCGCCUCGUGAAUUCAUCUUCGGGGGUAGAGCACUGUUUCGGCUAGGGGGUCAUCCCGACUUACCAACCCGAUGCAAACUACGAAUACCGAAGAAUGUUAUCACGGGAGACACACGGCGGGUGCUAACGUCCGUCGUGAAGAGGGAAACAACCCAGACCGCCAGCUAAGGUCCCAAAGUCAUGGUUAAGUGGGAAACGAUGUGGGAAGGCACAGACAGCCAGGAUGUUGGCUUAGAAGCAGCCAUCAUUUAAAGAAAGCGUAAUAGCUCACUGGUCGAGUCGGCCUGCGCGGAAGAUGUAACGGGGCUAAACCAUGCACCGAAGCUGCGGCAGCGACACUAUGUGUUGUUGGGUAGGGGAGCGUUCUGUAAGCCUGCGAAGGUGUGCUGUGAGGCAUGCUGGAGGUAUCAGAAGUGCGAAUGCUGACAUAAGUAACGAUAAAGCGGGUGAAAAGCCCGCUCGCCGGAAGACCAAGGGUUCCUGUCCAACGUUAAUCGGGGCAGGGUGAGUCGACCCCUAAGGCGAGGCCGAAAGGCGUAGUCGAUGGGAAACAGGUUAAUAUUCCUGUACUUGGUGUUACUGCGAAGGGGGGACGGAGAAGGCUAUGUUAGCCGGGCGACGGUUGUCCCGGUUUAAGCAUGUAGGCUGAUUGUCCAGGCAAAUCCGGAUAAUCAAGGCUGAGGUGUGAUGACGAGGCACUACGGUGCUGAAGUAACAAAUGCCCUGCUUCCAGGAAAAGCCUCUAAGCAUCAGGUAACAUCAAAUCGUACCCCAAACCGACACAGGUGGUCAGGUAGAGAAUACCAAGGCGCUUGAGAGAACUCGGGUGAAGGAACUAGGCAAAAUGGUGCCGUAACUUCGGGAGAAGGCACGCUGGUGUGUAGGUGAAGUCCCUGCGGAUGGAGCUGAGACCAGUCGAAGAUACCAGCUGGCUGCAACUGUUUAUUAAAAACACAGCACUGUGCAAACACGAAAGUGGACGUAUACGGUGUGACGCCUGCCCGGUGCCGGAAGGUUAAUUGAUGGGGUUAUCCGUAAGGAGAAGCUCUUGAUCGAAGCCCCGGUAAACGGCGGCCGUAACUAUAACGGUCCUAAGGUAGCGAAAUUCCUUGUCGGGUAAGUUCCGACCUGCACGAAUGGCGUAAUGAUGGCCAGGCUGUCUCCACCCGAGACUCAGUGAAAUUGAACUCGCUGUGAAGAUGCAGUGUACCCGCGGCAAGACGGAAAGACCCCGUGAACCUUUACUAUAGCUUGACACUGAACAUUGAGCCUUGAUGUGUAGGAUAGGUGGGAGGCUUUGAAGCGUGGACGCCAGUCUGCGUGGAGCCAACCUUGAAAUACCACCCUUUAAUGUUUGAUGUUCUAACGUUGGCCCCUUACCGGGGUUGCGGACAGUGUCUGGUGGGUAGUUUGACUGGGGCGGUCUCCUCCCAAAGCGUAACGGAGGAGCACGAAGGUUAGCUAAUCCUGGUCGGACAUCAGGAGGUUAGUGCAAUGGCAUAAGCUAGCUUGACUGCGAGCGUGACGGCGCGAGCAGGUGCGAAAGCAGGUCAUAGUGAUCCGGUGGUUCUGAAUGGAAGGGCCAUCGCUCAACGGAUAAAAGGUACUCCGGGGAUAACAGGCUGAUACCGCCCAAGAGUUCAUAUCGACGGCGGUGUUUGGCACCUCGAUGUCGGCUCAUCACAUCCUGGGGCUGAAGUAGGUCCCAAGGGUAUGGCUGUUCGCCAUUUAAAGUGGUACGCGAGCUGGGUUUAGAACGUCGUGAGACAGUUCGGUCCCUAUCUGCCGUGGGCGCUGGAGAAUUGAGGGGGGCUGCUCCUAGUACGAGAGGACCGGAGUGGACGCAUCACUGGUGUUCGGGUUGUCAUGCCAAUGGCACUGCCCGGUAGCUAAAUGCGGAAGAGAUAAGUGCUGAAAGCAUCUAAGCACGAAACUUGCCCCGAGAUGAGUUCUCCCUGAGACUUUAAGUCUCCUGAAGGAACGUUAAAGACGAUGACGUUGAUAGGCCGGGUGUGUAAGCGCAGCGAUGCGUUGAGCUAACCGGUACUAAUGAACCGUGAGGCUUAACCUUACAACGCCGAAG